ensembl:lncRNA
GGGGCCAGCAGCUCCGGAGCUUUAGAGUCAUUGACUAGCUGAGUCCGACCGGAGAGCAUCUAGGCCCGCAGAGCCCGCGCUAAGUCUCCGCGGCGGCGCCCCUGGCUGAGCCACUAGUCGCCCCGGUCCUUAGCUACAGGGAAGAAGCAAUACGGCAGUCUUCCUUUAGAAAGAGAAAAGUUUGACAGUGAUUUGAUUUCAUGUGGGGAUCGGAUGUAAAGCCAGGCAUGGGGAUCCCGGCAGACUUUGCAGAGGGAAGUAGCUGCGGUCUUCCUGAUGUGUUCUUGUCCACACACCAACACCGGUCGUCAGCUUACACACACAAACACUGGGCCAAGGGAGUUGCGGAUUUUCUGACUCCUCGUGCACUCAUCUGAAGGAGAGAAAUCCCCGCUGUCCCCAGGCACCCAUGCAAGGAAAGUCACUUGAUUAUGAAAGUGUUUCAGAAGAAAAGCAGACGCGGGUGGAGAGAGAGGCAGUGUCUCGAAGGAGGGAACAAGGCUCUCUUAAGACAUGUUUUGCAGCUCCCUGAAACCGAAAUCUGGUUGAACAGUAUUUAGAAUUCUACCUUUUAACCAUUUCCUGUCACAGCCCACAUUCAAGCUACUUUAGAAUCUCAAAGCUUGCUUUUGCCUGAACUGCUUUCCCAAACAUCCACAAGUCAGGACCAGUUUUGCUUCCGAUUUAGCAGUUCUGGAAAAGAGUUAAGGGAGACAAAGGAAAACAAUCGGUUGAAAUAGAGAAGAAAGGGGAAGCUCCUUCCACCUAUACCAACCUGCCCUGGCACAUCAAGCUUCAACAGGACUAGGUGCAUCCCCUCACACUGAGGGUUUCUAUUGUUGUGACAAAACACCAUGAUUCAAAAUCAAAC